GACAGAGGGUGCAAACGUUUGUUCGGAAUUACUGGGCGUAAAGCGCGUGUAGGCGGCUGUGUAAGUCGGGCGUGAAAUCCCAUGGCUCAACCAUGGAAGUGCACCCGAAACUGCGUAGCUAGAGUCCUGGAGAGGAAGGUGGAAUGCUUGGUGUAGAGGUGAAAUUCGUAGAUAUCGGGAGGAACACCCGUAGCGAAGGCGGCACUCUGGGCCGGAACUGACGCUGAGGAGCGAAAGCGUGGGGAGCAAACAGG
rnacentral:rRNA from 1 species